rnacentral:rRNA from 1 species
AAUUAGCGGCCGCGAUUCGCCCCUGUGCCAAGCAGCCGCGGUAAUUCCAGCUCCAAUAGCGUAUAUUAAAGUUGUUGCGUUAAAAAGCUCGUAGUCGAACUUCGGCGCCUGAUGGCCGGUCCGCCUUCUUGGUGUGUACUUGCUCAUCGGGCGCUUACCUCCUGGUGAACUCUGAUGUCCUUUACUGGGUGUCAGAGCAAACCAGGACGUUUACUUUGAAAAAAUUAGAGUGUUCAAAGCAGGCCUACGCCCGAAUACAUUAGCAUGGAAUAAUAGAAUAGGACGCGCGUUCCCAUUUUGUUGGUUUCUGAGAUCGCCGUAAUGAUUAAUAGGGAUAGUUGGGGGCAUUUGUAUUCCGUCGUCAGAGGUGAAAUUCUUGGAUUGCCGGAAGACAAACUACUGCGAAAGCAUUUGCCAAGGAUGUUUUCAUUGAUCAAGAACGAAGGAAGGGGGAUCGAAAACGAUCAGAUACCGUUGUAGUCUCUUCUGUAAACUAUGCCAAUUGGGGAUUAGCACAGGAUUUUCAAUGACUGUGUUAGCACCCGAAGAGAAAUCUUUAAAUGAGGUUCGGGGGGGAGUAUGGUCGCAAGGCUGAAACUUAAAGGAAUUGACGGAAGGGCACCACCAGGUGUGGAGCCUGCGGCUUAAUUUGACUCAACACGGGGAAACUCACCAGGUCCAGACACAAUAAGGAUUGACAGAUUGAUAGCUCUUUCUUGAUCUUGUGGUUGGUGGUGCAUGGCCGUUCUUAGUUGGUGGAGUGAUUUGUCUGGUUAAUUCCGAUAACGAACGAGACCUUAACCUGCUAAAUAGACCAGUCGACUUUGGUUGACUGCUGUCUUCUUAGAGGGACUAUCAGCGUUUAGCUGAUGGAAGUUUGAGGCAAUAACAGGUCUGUGAUGCCCC